GCACAUAUCCUUGUUUACCAGGCACCUCACACUUCAGGGUCUACGACAUGGUCAACAACUGUACAAUUUGACUAGCCGAUGUGAUGUAACGCCCCAGUGGUUCAAUGAUGGCCGCGUCCAAUAAAGGAGAAGGGGGUUGUAGUUGUUCGACCUGCCGCCCCUUUCCUUCAUGUCCUCAUUCCAUCACCACAUAGCCUGGUCAGUGUUAUGAUCGGAUCGUAGAGGUAAGGUCGGCUUGACCGAUGUCGGGAAUAACAAGGAGAUUGCCAAUUAAAUGGAAUUUGGCUCCUAUACCUUACUUUUCUGAUACUUUUUAAUCAAAGUAUAAUCAUAAAAAUUGUAUAUUUCUUAGUAUUUUCAUAUGAAUAUAAAACUGUUGGGAAUACUUUAACUAAUUAAAACCCGAACCCCCUUCGGUUUGUGAGUGGAAUGUUCCAUCUGUACUAAGGCCAUCGAAGGACACGAGAUUUUAGCCAGUAACCGCGCCUGGGUUAUAGGUCAUUUGCUUUUAAUAUGUAUGUUAUAAACAUUGCCACACGUGAUUAGAGUUAGUCUACGUCAUAAAUGACAAGACAAGUGUGCAUCACGUUACAUCACCGAGAUGUGCGACAAAUUUUACAUUAAUGAACACAUAGGUUAAUUAGACACAAUGUACGUCAUAGUCUGAUUAGUCAAGUAAUAACUGUACAAAAAGGGAUUGUGAGGCAGUACACAAGAAUAUAUUUUUAAUUGUUGUUGCACCCUCAAUAAAAAAAAACUUCUAGGAAGACGAAACUUAUUCCUAGUUUUUUUUACCUCCAUGUUGGACUUUGGCCUCGUGCUGAGCAUGUGAUAUUGUAUAUGUAUUCCCUAAAGAAGUUGUUGAUAUGGUUUAUGCAACAAUUUCCAGACUGAGAAUCGGUUGAGGCAAUCAGAUCUUUUGUUCGGAUGUUGCAUAACAUUGGAUCACUCGCCAGUUUGACCUACCCGUGAUCACGGCCUA